AUUGAACGCUGGCGGCAGGCCUAACACAUGCAAGUCGAGCGGUAGCACAAGAGAGCUUGCUCUCUGGGUGACGAGCGGCGGACGGGUGAGUAAUGUCUGGGAAACUGCCUGAUGGAGGGGGAUAACUACUGGAAACGGUAGCUAAUACCGCAUAACGUCGCAAGACCGAAGGGGGGGACCUUCGGGCCUCUUGCCAUCAGAUGUGCCCAGAUGGGAUUAGCUAGUAGGUGGGGUAACGCCUCACCUAGGCGACGAUCCCUAGCUGGUCAGAGAGGAUGCCCAGUCACACUGGAACUGGGACACGGUCCAGACUCCUACGGGAGGCAGCAGUGGGGAAUAUUGCACAAUGGGCGAAAGCCUUAUGCAGCCAGGCAGCGUGUAUGAAGAAGGCCUUCGGGUUGUAAAGUACUUUCAGCGGGGAGGAAGGUGUUGAGGUUAAUAACCUCAGCAAUUGACGUUACCCGCAGAAGAAGCACCGGCUAACUCCGUGCCAGCAGCCGCAGUAAAAC
rnacentral:rRNA from 1 species